UGAACGUUGCAAAAACAGAAAGUUGAUAGGACUAAUUUUUUUCAGAGAAAUUAGGUAUUUUAGCUAACAGAGUGACCAAUGGAUGACUGUUGAUAUCGCCAUUCAUCAGUC